UAAUACGGAGGGUGCAAGCGUUAAUCGGAAUUACUGGGCGUAAAGCGCACGCAGGCGGUUUGUUAAGUCAGAUGUGAAAUCCCCGGGCUCAACCUGGGAACUGCAUUUGAAACUGGCAAGCUAGAGUCUCGUAGAGGGGGGUAGAAUUCCAGGUGUAGCGGUGAAAUGCGUAGAGAUCUGGAGGAAUACCGGUGGCGAAGGCGGCCCCCUGGACGAAGACUGACGCUCAGGUGCGAAAGCGUGGGGAGCAAACAGGAUUAGAUACCCUGGUAGUCCACGCUGUAAACGAUGUCGAUUUGGAGGUUGUGCCCUUGAGGCGUGGCUUCCGGAGCUAACGCGUUAAAUCGACCGCCUGGGGGAGUACGGCCGCAAGGUUA
rnacentral:rRNA from 1 species